UGCGGGGGAACGGGGCGGAGGGGGCCGGCACAGCCUGGCCCAAACCAGGCUCACCGCAUUCCUGUUUCAGGCAUGUCAAAGGCCGUGUGCUGGUGGCUCUGGCGGAUGGGACCCUGGCCAUCUUCCACCGUGGUGAAGAUGGCCAGUGGGAUCUGAGCAACUAUCACCUAAUGGACCUGGGCCACCCGCACCACUCCAUCCGCUGCAUGGCUGUUGUGUACGACCGCGUGUGGUGUGGCUACAAGAACAAGGUGCACGUCAUCCAGCCCAAGACCAUGCAGAUAGAGGCGAGUGCCGGCCAGGGCCCCGGGGAGGGGAAGAGGCUCCUGC
rnacentral:sRNA from 1 species